CCUACGGGAGGCAGCAGUGGGGAAUAUUGCACAAUGGGGGAAACCCUGAUGCAGCGACGCCGCGUGAGUGAAGAAGUAUUUCGGUAUGUAAAGCUCUAUCAGCAGGGAAGAAAAUGACGGUACCUGAUUAAGAAGCACCGGCUAACUACGUGCCAGCAGCCGCGCUAAUACGUAGGGGGCAAGCGUUAGCCGGAUUUACUGGGUGUAAAGGGAGCGUAGACGGCAGCGCAAGUCUGAAGUGAAAUGCCGGGGCUUAACCCCGGAACUACUUUGGAAACUGUGAAGCUAGAGUGCGGGAGAGGUAAGUGGAAUUCCGAGUGGAGCGGUGAAAUGCGUAGAUAUUAGGAGGAACACCAGUGGCGAAGGCGGCUUACUGGACUGUAACGGACGUUGAGGCUCGAAAGCGUGGGGAGCAAACAGGAUUAGAUACCCCGGUAGUC
rnacentral:rRNA from 1 species